UAACUAUCUCUCUCAGCAGGGGUGACUGGUGCUUCCUGAGUCUGCGGGGGCACUAGAUUGCUAACGGGGGGCCCAGUGGCUGAUCACCAACCAGGGGGAGGUCUCCCAGAGGCCAAGCACUGAGCCCAGAAUCACCACUGGCUUACCAGGGGAUGCAUGGCCAAACUCCCUACGCGUCACCAGUGCUCUCCAGCUGUAGAAGAAGUUGGGGAGACAUCCAAGCGGAGCCUUCAUUCUGCUGGACGAACCUGUAGACUUUAUGCAUUCUGGACAGCCGAAAGGAUCUAAGCUUCCCUUUAAAAUCU
rnacentral:lncRNA from 1 species